AUUGAACGCUGGCGGCAGGCCUAACACAUGCAAGUCGAACGAGUGGCGGACGGGUGAGUAAUGUCUGGGAAACUGCCCGAUGGAGGGGGAUAACUACUGGAAACGGUACCAAAUACCGCAUACCCUUGGAUGUUCCCAGAUGGGAUUGGCUAGUAGGUGGGGUAACGGCUCACCUAGGCGACGAUCCCUAGCUGGUUUGAGAGGAUGACCAGUCACACGGGAACUGAGACACGGUCCAGACUCCUACGCGAGUCAGCAGUGGGGAAUAUUGCACAAUGGGCGCAAGCCUGAUGCAGCCAUGCCGCGUGUAUGAAGAAGGCCUUCGGGUUGUAAAGUACUUUCAGCGAGGAGGCGUUACUCGCAGAAGAAGCACCGGCUAACUCCGUGCCAGCAGCCGCGGUAAUUC
rnacentral:rRNA from 1 species